rnacentral:lncRNA from 1 species
CUCGGCGCCGCGGGGCGCGCGGUGAAGGCGGAGAGACCCCGCGGCCGCACGUGAUGGACAAGGCUUCGCGCUCCACCCCUGCGCUCUACUCCCGCGCCCGGUCUCAGCGAGUCCAAUCCAAGGCUUCGGAUGCACUACAGAGCAAAGCGAUUGGCUGCUGCCGCGAGGAGGGCAACCCAAAGAGGAAGCUUCAAAGGGUCUGAUUCAGCAGGAAGAUCCACCUUAAAUCUGGGCCAAAACUUUUGCUGGCAGCCUGAAUAGAAUAUGGAAGAAGGAAGCACUUGCUGUUUUCCCUGCUUGCUCUUGCUUUUGCUGGCAACUUCAUACCUUGGAGUCCAAAAUAAACUGAAGAACAGCUAAGACAUUCAGCUUCAAGGACUGAACAACUAAUGAAUUCUUGGACUCCACAGACAUAGACAGCCAUCGUUGGACUUGCCGAGAACCCCGGCUGAUACAGAAUACAUAUUUUUGUAAAACCUCCCUUAAUGAUGUAUUAUCCCAUUUAACGUAAUGUCAGGUUUGAGGUCAUCUGUGACGUCAAAACAAUACCAGUAGCAAAAUGCUUAAGCACCCUUGGGAGGCAUUUCUGCAAGUGGAGAACUCAAAAGAAGACUAGAAAAGUUCACUAAAAAAAAUUUCAAGAAGACUGAUGCCUCGCUUUGAUUUCUAUCACUGUGAUAGAACACCACAACAUUGGUAGAAAAUAGUUUAUUUCAGCUUAAAGUUGUAGUCCAUCCUGAAGUGUAGUCAGGGCAAGGGCUCAGUGCAGAAGGAUCUUUCUAUGUAGCUCUGGUUGGUCUGGAACUCACUACGUAGAAUAAGCUGGCCUGGAACUUGUGAAUUUUACCUCAGCUUCCCUAGGAGCUGGAAUUAUGGUCAUUUUCCACCAUGCCUGUCUGUGAUUUAUGUAAUUACCAACUACAUAAUUUAAAUUAUAUAACUAUAGCUUAUAGUUAUGUAACUAUUGUUCUAUGGUCAUAGGAUUACAAUUAUUGCUGUAAAUCUUUAUUUCAGUACAGUCACUGGCUGGUUUGUCCUUAUUAAAGUUAACAGAAAACU